rnacentral:rRNA from 1 species
AUUGAACGCUGGCGGCAUGCUUUACACAUGCAAGUCGAACGGUAACAGCACUUCGGUGGCUGACGAGUGGCGAACGGGUGAGUAAUACAUCGGAACGUGCCUAGUAGUGGGGGAUAACUACUCGAAAGAGUAGCUAAUACCGCAUGAGAUCUAAGGAUGAAAGCAGGGGACCUUCGGGCCUUGCGCUACUAGAGCGGCUGAUGGCAGAUUAGGUAGUUGGUGGGAUAAAAGCUUACCAAGCCGACGAUCUGUAGCUGGUCUGAGAGGACGACCAGCCACACUGGGACUGAGACACGGCCCAGACUCCUACGGGAGGCAGCAGUGGGGAAUUUUGGACAAUGGGCGCAAGCCUGAUCCAGCAAUGCCGCGUGCAGGAUGAAGGCCUUCGGGUUGUAAACUGCUUUUGUACGGAACGAGAAGCCCUCUUCUAAUACAGGAGGGUCAUGACGGUACCGUAAGAAUAAGCACCGGCUAACUACGUG